rnacentral:rRNA from 1 species
AUUCCAGCUCCAAUAGCGUAUAUUUAAGUUGUUGCAGUUAAAAAGCUCGUAGUUGGAUUUUGGUUAAGAGGGCGCGGUCGGCCGUUUGGUCUGUACUGCGUUGUCUUGACUUCCUGAUGAGGACAUGCUCUUGGUUAACGCUGAGACAUGGAGUCAUCGUGGUUACUUUGAAAAAAUUAGAGUGUUCAAAGCGGGCUUACGCUUGAAUAUAUUAGCAUGGAAUAACACUAUAGGACUCCUGUCCUAUCUCGUUGGUCUCGGGAUGGGAGUAAUGAUUAACAGGGACAGUCAGGGGCACUCGUAUUCCGCCGAGAGAGGUGAAAUUCUCAGACCAGCGGAAGACGAACCACUGCGAAAGCAUUUGCCAGAGAUGUUUUCAUCG